rnacentral:rRNA from 1 species
UUUAGUGGCGAUAGAAGGGGUCACACUCGUUCCCAUGCCGAACACGAUCGUUAGCUCUUUUGCGCCGAUGGUAGUUGGGGGUUUCCCCCCUGCCGAGUAGGACGUUGCUAAAC